UUGUCGCCCAACAUUGUAUUCCGCAACCUGAAACACAAAUCUCAACUUUUCCCUCGCUUUCUACCAAACCAACCACCCCUUAUUAUUGGAUGACAAACACAAACCGUGCUACAAUGUUAGUAGAGCAAAAUACAAACACCUUACACAGACCCAAAUUCGGAGCCUUGUUGCACUCCGAUGCCACGUCGCUUCACACCUCCAACGACGACGAAGACUUCACCCACAACCGCCACAGCAAUGCCAGCCCUACAAACUACGCCGACAGCAGCACCAAUGCCUCUCCCUACGCCAUGUCUCCAUGGACCAACCAACCUUCUUCCUCUCCUCUCAACAACUCUCCAUGGCUAUUACCCUCAUCACCCGCCUUCAACCUCUUCAACAACAACAACUACUUCCUCCAAAACGGUCUCAUCGGAUCCCUCGUCCGCGAAGAGGGUCACAUAUACUCCUUGGCGGUUUCCGCUGACUUGUUAUACACCGGUUCCGAUAGCAAGAACAUAAGGGUGUGGAAGGAUCUCAAGGACUUCGCCGGCUUCAAAUCCAGCAGUGGAUUGGUCAAAACCAUAGUUAUCUCCGGCGGGAGAAUCUUCACCGGCCACCAAGACGGCAAGAUCAGAGUGUGGAAGGUUUCCACCAAGAAUCCCAAAAAACAUAAACGCGUGGGGAGCUUGCCCACGUUCAAAGAGUACGUGAAGAGUUCCAUGAACCCGAAGAACUACGUGGAGGUUCGAAGGAACCGGAACGCGGUGAAGGUGAAGCACUUCGACGCCGUUUCGAGCCUGAGUUUAGAUGAGGAGGAGGGGUUGUUGUACUCGGGUUCGUGGGACAAGACGCUGAAAGUGUGGCGCGUGGCGAAUUCCAAGUGCUUGGAAUCGAUUCACGCGCACGAAGACGCUGUGAACGCGGUGGUGGCGGCGUUCAAGGGUAUCGUGUUGACGGGUUCCGCGGACGGGACGGUGAAGAUGUGGAGGAGGCAAAUCGAGAAUGGCGAGAAGCCGAAGCACGUGUUCGAGCGUGUUCUGUUGAAGCAAGAGAACGCCGUGACGGCGCUGGCGGUGAACCGUUCGGCGGCGGUGGUAUACUGCGGUUCCUCCGACGGGUUGUUGAACUUCUGGGAGCUCGACCACAAGGGAGGGCUAUCGCACGGCGGCGUUCUGAGGGGGCACAAGCUGGCCGUGCUCUGCCUCGCCGCAGCGGGGAACCUCGUCUUCAGCGGCUCCGCCGAUAAGAACGUUUGCGUGUGGAAGCGCGACAAGAGCGGGUUCCACACGUGCCACAUGGUUCUCACGGGUCACACGGGUCCCGUGAAGUGCAUCGCCGUGGAGGAAGAACAAGCGCCACGCGAGAAUGGGGACCAGGGCUGGAUUGUGUACACCGGAAGCUUGGACAAGUCGGUGAAGGUGUGGCGCGUGUCUGAACAUGCGCCCGAGAUGAGCGUGUUCCAGAACUUUGCCACACCCGCUCAUGCUGGGAUGAGUGGUUCCUCCCCGUGGAAAAAAAGUGCUACCAAUGAAAACGGCCAAAACAUCCACAACGCUGCUAACCAUGGCCGCGCUGAUUUCUAUUAGUUUUGUCAUGCUUUCCUAGGUGUUCAUAUCUUAAAAUGUAGCUAUUGAGUUUUGGUAAAUGUUUCAACUACACAAAAGGAGGAGGCUGAGGAUCGAGCUUGGUGCAUGCAUCUUGCAGAGGGAAAAUAUGGAUUUAGACCUACCGCUGAAAAUGAAGACUAAUUAACAUCUUCACAGUCAUGUUCACAAGUGGAACAACAGGCAAACCCAUUAUUAAGAUGGAGGCUUUCAAAACUCAAGUGUUAUCUAUUGAACAGAUGCUUAUUUAACUGGCAUAGUGGUCUCACUGAAAGUUGUGGUGAGUGUUUCACUGCAAUAAGCAAUGUGUUUUGAAUGAUGGUAACAAUUGGAGUCCAUGUGACAAGCAUUGAGGACAAGCUUGAAUGUGUGCUAGAGAUGAGAUAUGAUGCACUCUCCAGUGAAACCCGUGGAGAAAUUUGCAUGAGAGAAAAUAACUUGUUCUAUGGUAACCACAAGCGUCAAGAUCUUAAUCAAGAGGUUCUGGUUGAUUUCAUGCAUGUAAAAUCUCAUGUUGCGGAUUAAACGGUGGCCUACAAUGCCUACGAAGAAUUCCUUUUUUCCAGCUUCAUUAGGAUUCUCCACUUAAUGGUUUAGUAUUCUGGUUAAUUUGAGUUUAGACACCACUCAGAAUCAUGUAAAUUGCUACCGACGGAAUGACAAACACUCAAAAAGGUUUUAUGGAUUGUUGACCACUUGGUAAAUCUACUGAUAUGCUGUGUAAAUCUUUCCUUCAAAUGGUCAAAGGGUAUUUUCGUUGAAAAUUGAGCAAUCCAAAAUGAUCACAUUCAUAUGAGAAUUAGUUCAACGAUUGUUGUUAAAUUUGGAAUCCCAGUGAAGGGGGCGCAUAUAUAUGAGAUCAAUUUUUAACUUUUUUCUAUA